rnacentral:rRNA from 1 species
AGCGAACGCUGGCGGCAGGCUUAACACAUGCAAGUCGAGCGGGCACUUCGGUGUCAGCGGCAGACGGGUGAGUAACACGUGGGAACGUACCCUUUGGUUCGGAAAUACGCUGGGAAACUAGCGCUAAUACCGGAUACGCCCUUUUGGGGAAAGGCUUGCUGCCGAAGGAUCGGCCCGCGUCUGAUUAGCUAGUUGGUGGGGUAAUGGCCUACCAAGGCGACGAUCAGUAGCUGGUCUGAGAGGAUGAUCAGCCACACUGGGACUGAGACACGGCCCAGACUCCUACGGGAGGCAGCAGUGGGGAAUAUUGGACAAUGGGCGCAAGCCUGAUCCAGCCAUGCCGCGUGAGUGAUGAAGGCCUUAGGGUUGUAAAGCUCUUUUGUCCGGGACGAUAAUGACGGUACCGGAAGAAUAAGCCCCGGCUAACUUCGUG